rnacentral:lncRNA from 1 species
CCCUGGCAGGAGGUGAGGGCUUCAAAGAGGCCCUCUGGGUUCACACCGGCUUCCCAUUGCCUGUUCCUCACCCUCAGCAGUUCCUCGCUGUCUGGAGGGCAUCGUGGUGCCCGGCAGCAGCCUCAGUCCUGCCGUCCACACACCGCCUGUGCCUCCAGGCAUCUUCAGUGCCCCGUCCAGGACUCUUGUCAGAGCGUCCCUCCUGCCGGCAGCCACUCCCAGUUCUUCACACAGCGAAUGGAGCCCUCACGCUGCGCCGGUGCCACAUCUCCCACCAGCGAUGGAGCUUUGGUGCCACCUCUUCAUCUACUUUCCUGGGCCAUUCCUGGUGCCAACUGUUUCAGGUCCUGAAGGGAAGACAAGCCAGCUUGGUUCUAGGGGACUCUGUGGCACCCACUCCCAGCUCUUCCUGAUGACAUCCCACAGGCCAGCUGUACGACCUUGGAGGAAGGCCAGCGCUGGUGGGGACGUGGGAUCUAGGACUGGUCGGAGCCUCCUCUCGUACUUGCAGACUGGCGCAGAUAUUCUGUAGAGACGCGAG